CUCAGGUGCGUCUCCUCACUGUGUGAUGUCAUGUUUCAGGUUAGUCUCAGGUGGGUCUCAGGUUGGUCUCAGGUGUGUCUCAGGUUAGUCUCUGGUGUGUCUCAGGUUAGUCUCUGGUGUGUCUCAGGUUAGUCUCUGGUGUGUCUCAGGUUAGUCUCAGGUUUGUCUCAGGUUAGUCUCUGGUGCGUCUCAGGUUAGUCUCAGGUGCGUCUCCUCACUGUGUGAUGUCAUGUUUCAGGGCGGGGUCAUCCUGGUGUCUCACGACGAGCGUCUGAUCCGCAUGGUGUGCAAGGAGCUGUGGGUGUGUGAGCACGGGAAGGUGGGCCGCAUCGACGGAGGCUUCGACGAGUACCGGGACAUCCUGCACGAGCAGUUCAAGAAGGAGGGUUACCUGUGAGGCCCCGUUCAGCGCUUCAACAAGCCCCGCCCCCUCUAACAACAUCCUGUUAUAGCAGCCAAUCAGCAGCCUGGAGGACGGUUUUUUUUUCUCCUCUGAACUGAUGUGCUGCAGGCCGAUUGGUCGAUUUCCCCUGGUGAUGUCAGUGAACUCUGGAGGAGGCGGAGUCUAUUUAAAGUCCAUCGUUACAUUUAACCUGAUUUUUUUUUUUUUCUGUGUGAUCGACUCUUAAAAGGACCCAACAUUACAUUCAGACACAAAACAAAUAAAUCCAUCCGAUCAUGGUCUGUUCUUCUUCUGCUGAUUCCUUUAAAGCAUCAUUCUGUCUUCAUGGGGGGGGGUUUCCUUUUAUGUAUACAGUAUCAGAAGUGUUUCUAUAAAGAUAUAGUAUGA